rnacentral:rRNA from 1 species
UACGUAGGGUGCAAGCGUUGUCCGGAAUUAUUGGGCGUAAAGAGCUCGUAGGCGGUUUGUCGCGUCUGCUGUGAAAACCCAGGGCUUAACCCUGGGCCUGCAGUGGGUACGGGCAGACUAGAGUGCGGUAGGGGAGAUCGGAAUUCCUGGUGUAGCGGUGAAAUGCGCAGAUAUCAGGAGGAACACCGAUGGCGAAGGCAGGUCUCUGGGCCACUACUGACGCUGAGAAGCGAAAGCGUGGGGAGCGAACAGG